rnacentral:rRNA from 1 species
UACGUAGGGGGGCUAGCGUUGUCCGGAUUUAUUGGGCGUAAAGAGCGUGUAGGCGGCCAGGUAGGUCCGGUGUGAAAAACUCGAGGCUUAACCUCGAGAUGUCAUCGGAAACCAUCUGGCUAGAGUCCGGAAGAGGAAAGUGGAAUUCCUGGUGUAGCGGUGAAAAUGCGCAGAUAUCAGGAAGAACACCAAUGGCGAAAAGCAGCUUUCUGGGACGGUACUGACGCUGAGACGCGAAAAGCGUGGGGGAGCGAACAGG